AACAAACGCUGGCGGCGUGUCUUAAGCAUGCAAGUCGAGCGGCAGGUGCAGCAAUGCGCUGAGAGCGGCGGACUGGUGAGUAACGCGUGGGUAAUCUACCUUUGGCAUGGGGAUAGCCACUAGAAAUAGUGGGUAAUACCGAAUACGUUCCCUGGGGGAGGUUUCAGGGAAGAAAGGGUGCUACGGCACCGGCCAAAGAUGAGCUCGCGUCCCAUUAGCUAGCUGGUGAGGUAAUGGCCCACCAAGGCGACGAUGGGUAGCCGGCCUGAGGGGGGUGAACGGCCACACUGGAACUGAGACACGGUCCAGACUCCUACGGGAGCAGCAUG
rnacentral:rRNA from 1 species